AGCUCCGGGAUGGGCUGCGGGUACCAGUGCCAGCUGGGUCAUCUUCUACCACAGAACAAACUGAUGACUGUUCCAAUAAGUUCUCCUUCUGCCCAACACCACAUGUGACUUAAGAGAAGAGCUGGGCAGUCGAGCGAACCCACCAAGAGCUUCAGUCUCGUGUCUCCAACUACCCAGCAUCCGGAAGUGAUUUUUUGUUGUUGUUCUUCCUCAAUCUUGCCUCGUGGGGCUGUUUGAAACUUGGGAGCUAACUGAGACUCCUGCCAUUGUGGAUGAAAAGCAAGGUCAUUGAGCAGCCCACUGUAACUCCUCUCCUUGUGAUGCCAGCUGUGAGUGUUUCUUUGGCAGUGUCUUAGCUGGUUGUUGUGAGCAAUAGUUGAGGAAGCAAUCAGCAAGUAUACUGCCCUAGAAGUGCUGCACAUUGUUGGGCUUAUCUCAUAUCUCCCUGGCUUCGGAGCCGGACGUGGAGCCGGAUUGGGAUGCUGCCCAGGUGUGCUGGGCUUGGGGUGUUUGUCAUGGAGCAGAGGGCUAAUACGAGAAAUGCCCCAGGAUGCCAGGUGAUACGGUCGCUGCAGCAGAGACACAAAAUGAAGAAAGAAGAUAAACGUGUGGCAAGUUGCUCUGUUCUUCUGGUAUUUCCACCCAUGGUUUCCUGAAAGGAAAACUUCAGCUAGCGUUAGUAAUGCUGCAAGAAUAUGGCAGUGAGUCCUGGGAGAAGGGCUGGUCUCUUUAGGUAGGAUUUGUUUGAGCUUUGACCUCGGGCUGGUAAUGACAGAGUGACUUGGCCCUGUGCUGGUGUGUGACUCACUUGCAAUCGCUGUUUCUUCUGGGUGCCGGUCAGCAGCUGUGCGCAACGCAGAGCACAGCCCCGGAGUUCCCAGCUCUGCUGCUUCACAGAUUGAAGCUGUUCAGCUGCAAUAGCAUUUGAGGUAGUGGUAUAAAUCCCUGGAGGCACAAAUACAGCAGGAUGCAGGAGGGAAUGGAGACCUUAGGCACUGUCCUGUGCCUCGCUCAGAUUGCACAAGUGAAAGCCACAGGCAUGUUUGAGUCGCUCCCUGGAGCCUGUGGUAUUUAAAUGUCCCUAGCUGAUGUGCUACUUAAUGCUCUUGCACAAAGUGCCACCGCUCCGUGUUUUUGUGGAGCAGGCAUUGGCUGAAAGGGCCCAAUGCAAUGUCUGCAGCGUGGCUGGGGUGACAGCCGAGCGCUUGGGCUUGACAUGCAUCACUUGCUGUGCAAUUCCUGAACAGCUUCACCUGUGGUGAUAAAGUAUUUAUUAUGACUUUGAAUUCCAGUGCAGAAGAUAAUGUUCUUCAGCUUCCU